UACAGAGGUCUCAAGCGUUGUUCGGAUUCAUUGGGCGUAAAGGGUGCGUAGGCGGCGCGGAAAGUAGGGUGUGAAAGCCCUCGGCUCAACCGAGGAAUUGCGCUCUAAACUGCCGCGCUCGAGGAACCUAGAGGUGAGCAGAACUGAUGGUGGAGCGGUGAAAUGCGUUGAUAUCAUCAGGAAUACCGGAGGCGAAGGCGGCUCACUGGGGGUUAUCUGACGCUGAGGAACGAAAGCCAGGGGAGCAAACGGG
rnacentral:rRNA from 1 species